AUCUACAUACACACAGACACACAAUCACACUCUCCUUGAUAGGAUUUUCAGAAAACUAUUUCUCUUCUCUCUAUCGCUCAUAUCCAUAUAGAACGUAGACCUAUCCACAGAAAACAUUGUCAGCACGGCUUACUCUCUCAACAACAGCAAUAUAGCAACUAAACAAUACAAGUCUAAGAGCAGGAUAUAUAAAAAUUAUAGAAUCUCUAUCACAAUGGAAAAGAUUUUUACAAAUAUUACAUGGUUUAAACAUAGUAAGAUGCCUCUUGACUGAAACAAUUUGAAAACACCCUUUGAAGUUUCAAAUAUAUUGAGAUAUAUAUAUAUAUAAAUAUAUUUAUAUAUAUAUGUAUAUAUAUAUAUAUAUUUAAAACAGAAUAUGUUUGUACAGUUGUUUUCUUUCUGGCUUCUAUUGGAAACCUCCCUUUGUGCCGAUCUCACUUACCAAAUAGAGGAGGCUCAAAUUCUUGGAACAUAUGUUGGUGACAUUGCGCUUGACAUAAACUCACGAGGCAUUUUCGUGUCUCGAGACCUCAGCUUAAUUUCUUUUAGCCGCUUGCAGAAAAGUAAAGGCUUGCAGUUGUUUAAUGUAACCAAGACUGGCAAACUAUAUACCAAUCAAAUACUGGAUGCAGAAUCUCUGUGCAAGUACAACACUGAAUGUUUUAGAAUGGUUGAUGUUGCUAUUCAAAAGGAAGAAUCUUUUGUGAAAAUAAUUGAGGUAAAAGUAAUCAUUAAAGACAUUAAUGACAAUCGUCCUGAGUUUCAGGAAAAUCAAAUCAACAUCAAGUUUUCUGAAGACUACAGUAAGGGAGUAACAAGAACAAUUCCUAAUGCCAUUGAUAAAGAUAUGGGAUCAGAAAAUUCACAGAUUACUUAUAAAUUAAAAAAGAACAGAGAUGAGCCUUUUAGCUUGUCUUUUUCACGUAAAGAUGAUGGCACCACCCAACUUGGGAUUGUUUUAGAAAAGAAAUUAGAUAGAGAAGUAAAAGAUACUUAUAAUGUGCAAGUCAUUGCUCGUGAUGAAGGAUACCCACCCAAAGAAGGUGUUUUAAAUGUUGAAAUAUCUGUCACUGAUGAGAAUGAUAAUUCUCCUAUCUUUACACAGAGUGUUUACAAUGUUUCCAUUAGUGAAAACCACCAAAAAAGCCAGGCUGUAAUCACUGCAUCAGCAAAAGAUUUAGAUUCUGGUAAGAAUGGCAAAGUUGUGUAUCGUUUUCAUUCAAAAACAGCAAAACUAGCUAUGGAUUAUUUUGAAUUGAAUAAAGAAACUGGAGAAAUCUUUUUGAAUCGACAAUUUCCUUUUGAUAAACAACAAACCUACAAGCUUUUCAUCACAGCUAGUGAUAAUGGGAACCCACCAUUAAGUUCAACUGCAGUUGUGCUGGUUAAUAAGAUUGGCCACCAGAAUACUGCACCAGCAAUAGAAGUAAAUUUUGUUUCUGAAUCAAUGAAAAACACAGCCACAAUUUCUGAAGGAGUGAAAGUCGGUAGUUUUAUUGCCUAUGUUAAGGUUACUGAUAAUGAUGUUGGACAGAAUGGAGAGGUCACAUGUGAUCUCCAUCACAAUAAACUGUUGUUGAAGAGUUUAGGGAGAAUGAAAUAUAAAGUUGUGGUCAAAAAGUCUGUUGAUAGAGAAAAGGAAAGUUUCAUUGACUUUACUAUAAGUUGCCAAGACAAAGGAGUACCUUCACAAAAGACAGAAAGAAAAUUCUCUAUUGAAGUAAUGGACGUUAAUGAUGUGCAGCCAAAGUUUACUAAAAGCCAAUUUAAGUUUUUAACCUAUGAGAAUGAAGAACCAAACUUUCCUGUUGGAUUUAUUAAUGUUACUGACCCUGACAUGGGCCUAGGAGGUCAACUCACUUAUAUUUUAUUGAGUGACAAUGAAAAUAUUCUUCCUUUUGUGAUUUCUAAUUUUGGAUUUAUUUCUACUACUCAAUCAUUGGACAGAGAAGAAAAAGAGACUUAUGAAUUUAAAGUUUUUGUAAAAGACAAUGGCAAACCUUCUUUGAAUAAUACAGAAAAUGUGAUUGUUGAAGUAAUGGAUGAAAAUGAUAAUGCUCCUUAUUUUACCUUUCCUAGUGUUAACCCUUUUAACCUCGAUGUCCACUACCAUCCUCAAAGUAAGAGUGAGAUCACAGUUUUGAAAGCCUCAGAUAGAGACAGACAUGUGAAUGCAUUUCUCAGUUAUGAAAUAAUCGGAGGCAAUGAAAAACAGUUGUUUUCAGUAAAACCCUACACAGGUGUCCUAUCUUACUCCCGUCCAGUUUACCAGAAUGAUGCAGGGUUAUACAGUUUAACGUUUGUUGUCAAAGACAGUGGCAGUCCUAUGCGGUCAGCAACUACGACUCUGUCACUGAUGUUGACCGUCAGCAACCAGACAUCCAAAAUGUUGACCACCGUUCCCAAACAAUCAGAUGACACUAUUCAUAUAAACCUAAUGAUAGUUAUCAUUGUUGCUGCUAUUAUCUUAUCUGUGGCUAUUGUCAUUUCAUUAGCAAUAUGCAUCAUUCAGAAGUACACCCAGAGAAACAUUCUGUACAGUGAUGUAGUUGGUAACACCAACUGUCCUAGAGAGAGGAAACAAUCAGAAUAUACCUGUGAACCUAACCAUCCACAGUAUGAUGUCCCAGCAAGCAUGGUUUUAGAUCCAGGCUUAAAUAAAGAGUCUAAAACAACCCUUCUGAAAAGGGACUCACAAUAUGGAUGUAAAACGGAUUGGAAAGGGUCAACUUCUAGAAUGCCUCUCUCUGUGACACAAGGUUUAACACAGCAGGGAAGUCUCCAAGGUGUUAUUGAGAUCAGUAAAGAAGAGCAACACAUGCUUAGACCAGUGGAUCACUUCAAUGAGAUGUCAACCAUGUCUUCUCUUAGUGACAGUGGACAAGGCUGGAGUGAAGCCAGCACCACUCACUAUGAGAUAUUACCAGAACCUUCCAUUCUGUUCAUCAAAAGAAUUUCAUAACUCCAACAGUGUAGAAACAAAGCCUGUUUCUUUAUAUGUAUAGAAGGAGAUUGUUCAUAGUCUGAAGGAAUGGCAGCCUAAAGAGUUCUCAUCAGGCACUUUACCAGUACGAAAUCUUGCCAAACAGAACUGGUCCCGAAAACAAUUAAAAAGUCCACACCACUUACCCUUAACAGACCUAAGAAC
rnacentral:misc_RNA from 1 species